rnacentral:ncRNA from 1 species
AAUUUAUUUAAUUCUGGUAAUGAAAGAGUGAAAAGUAUUAUUACAUAAAGUUGUUGUAUGUGUUUGAAUAAGAUUUGUUAAAUUUGUUUAUUAGUAAUUAGAUCUCAUAUGUUUGAGGUAACUCAGAUUGGGAUACUUUUUGUAGGUGGAGAAUACUCAGUGCCAGCAUCCGCGGUUAUUCUGUUUAGCCUAUCUCUUUGGUUUAGUUUAAAUAUUUCAUUUAAUAAUUUGAUGAAUUUAGGUGGAAUUUUUUCUUUUAAGAGAUUAUUUAUUGAUUGUAUGAAAGGUUAUUAAUAAAAAAGGAUUAGAGACCCUUGUAUAAAAUUGUGAAGUUUGAUGCUUUAGUUGAAACUAAAAGAAUUUGGCAGCUGAUGAAGUUCGUCCGGGGGAGUGUGUUUGGUAAAAGAUAGUCCGCUUAGUAGUUUACUUUGUUUAUGAUGUUAGUGUAUGUCCGGUUUAGAGAUUUAUAAUUAGUGUUAAUAGGUGUGGUAUUAUUUAAUUUAAUCCAGGUCUAUGUGCUGCUUAUGACAAAGUCUUAAUGCACUACUGUGAUAAAAGGGUUUUUCUGGGAGGUGGUUAAUCGUAUUAAGGACUCGGAAGUAAAAAGAAAUGAAAAAGUUCUUUUGAAGUAGAUUUAGUUAGGGUACAUAUCGCCCGUCGCUCAUGGUGUUGAGCUAUGAUAAGUCGUAACAUGGUAACAUUGGGGGAACCGGAUGUUAAUAGGUCUUGGGUUUAUUUCUUUAGACUU